AAAUAAAGGUGUUCUCAACUAGCCUACCUGGUUAAAUAAAGGUGUUCUCAACUUGCCUACCUGGUUAAAUAAAGGUGUUCUCAACUUGCCUACCUGGUUAAAUAAAGGUGUUCUCAACUUGCCUACCUGGUUAAAUAAAGGUGUUCUCAACUAGCCUACCUGGAUAAAUAAAGGUGUUCUCAACUGGCCUACCUGGAUAAAUAAAGGUGUUCUCAACUAGCCUACCUGGUUAAAUAAAGGUGUUCUCAACUAGCCUACCUGGUUAAAUAAAGGUGUUCUCAACUAGCCUACCUGGUUAAAUAAAGGUGUUCUCAACUAGCCUACCUGGUUAAAUAAAGGUGUUCUCAACUAGCCUACCUGGUUAAAUAAAGGUGUUCUCAACUAGCCUACCUGGUUAAAUAAAGGUGUUCUCAACUAGCCUACCUGGUUAAAUAAAGGUGUUCUCAUCUAGCCUACCUGGUUAAAUAAAGGUGUUCUCAUCUGGC
ensembl:lncRNA